UACGGAGGGUGCAAGCGUUAUCCGGAUUCACUGGGUUUAAAGGGUGCGUAGGCGGGCCGGUAAGUCCGUGGUGAAAUCUCUGAGCUUAACUCAGAAACUGCCAUGGAUACUAUUUGUCUUGAAUAUUGUGGAGGUAAGCGGAAUAUGUCAUGUAGCGGUGAAAUGCUUAGAUAUGACAUAGAACACCAAUGGCGAAGGCAGCUUACUACACAGUUAUUGACGCUGAGGAGCGAAAGCAUGGGGAGCGAACAGG
rnacentral:rRNA from 1 species